UCUUACGAUGAGCAAAGGAAGUGGUUUCCUGAGAUGGAAUCUACUCCUCGUAGAGAUGCUGUGAA
rnacentral:pre_miRNA from 1 species